CGUGCCUAACACAUGCAAGUCAAACGGGAAAGUGCUCUUCGGAGGGCGAGUACCGUGGCGAACGGGUGAGUAACACGUGGGCAAUCUGCCCUCAGGAUCGGGAUAACCCGCCGAAAGGCGUGCUAAUACCGGAUAAGACCACACUGCCCCCGGGCAGAGUGGGAAAAGGUGGCCUCUCCAUGGAAGCUAUCACCUGAGGAUGAGCCCGCGGCCUAUUAGCUUGUUGGUGAGGUAACGGCUCACCAAGGCGACGAUGGGUAGCCGGCCUGAGAGGGUGAACGGCCACACUGGCACUGAGACACGGGCCAGACUCCUACGGGGAGGCAGCAGUGGGGAAUUUUGCGCAAUGGG
rnacentral:rRNA from 1 species